UGCCCUCAUGCUUCCUCAACUGUC
rnacentral:siRNA from 1 species